rnacentral:rRNA from 1 species
AUUCCGGAGAGGGAGCCUGAGAAACGGCUACCACAUCCAAGUAAGGCAGCAGGCGCGCAAAUUACCCACUCCCGGCACGGGGAGGUAGUGACGAAAAAUAACGAUACGGAACUCAUACGAGGCUCCGUAAUCGGAAUGAGUACACUUUAAAUCCUUUAACGAGGAUCUAUUGGAGGGCAAGUCUGGUGCCAGCAGCCGCGGUAAUUCCAGCUCCAAUAGCGUAUAUUAAAGUUGUUGCGGUUAAAAAGCUCGUAGUUGGAUCUCGGUUUCACUCAGGCGGUACACCUUGCGGUGUUCACUGUCUGGGCGGACGUUUCUGUUGGUUCGCUGUUGGUUCUCUUAAUCGAGUGCCAAUUGGUGGCCAGCACGUUUACUUUGAAAAAAUUGGAGUGCUCAAAGCAGGCGUUACAGCCUGAACAUUAGUGCAUGGAAUAAUGGAAUAGGAUCUCGAUUCUAUUUCGUUGGCUUUCGGAGUCGAGGUAAUGAUUAAUAGGGACAGACGGGGGCAUUCGUACUGCGACGUUAGAGGUGAAAUUCUUGGAUCGUCGCAAGACGAACUACUGCGAAAGCAUUUGCCAAGAAUGUUUUCAUUAAUCAAGAACGAAAGUUAGAGGUUCGAAGGCGAUCAGAUACCGCCCUAGUUCUAACCAUAAACGAUGCCAACCGGCGAUCCGUCGUCGUUAAUUGAAUGACUCGACGGGCAGCCUCCGGGAAACCAGAGUGUUUGGGUUCCGGGGGAAGUAUGGUUGCAAAGCUGAAACUUAAAGGAAUUGACGGAAGGGCACCACCAGGAGUGGAGCCUGCGGCUUAAUUUGACACAACACGGGAAAUCUCACCAGGCCCGGACACCGGAAGGAUUGACAGAUUGAGAGCUCUUUCUUGAUUCGGUGGGUGGUGGUGCAUGGCCGUUCUUAGUUGGUGGAGCGAUUUGUCUGGUUAAUUCCGAUAACGAACGAGACUCUGGCCUACUAACUAGAAGGGUCGUUCUUUACGAGCGGCCCUCUGCUUCUUAGAGGGACGGGCGGCGUUUAGCCGCACGAGAAUGAGCAAUAACAGGUCUGUGAUGCCCUUAGAUGUUCUGGGCUGCACGCGCGCUACACUGAAGGAAUCAGCAUGUUCUCCCCUCCCUGAAAAGGGCGGGUAACCCGUUGAAACUCCUUCGUGAUGGGGAUUGGAGAUUGUAAUUAUAACGAGGAAUUCCCAGUAGGCGCGAGUCAUCAGCUUGCGUCGAUUACGUCCCUGCCCUUUGUACACACCGCCCGUCGCUACUACCGAUCGAGUGAUUUAGUGAGGACUUCGGACUGGUCUCCAAGUUGGCUUCGGUCAGCUCGGAGUUCCGGAAAGAUGCCCAAACUUGAUCACUUAGAGGAAGUAAAAGUCGUAACAAGGUUUCCGUAGGAACCUGCGGAAG